rnacentral:rRNA from 1 species
UACAGAGGUCCCAAGCGUUGUUCGGAUUCACUGGGCGUAAAGGGUGCGUAGGCGGUCGGGUAAGUCUGAUGUGAAAUCUCACAGCUUAACUGUGAAACUGCAUUGGAUACUAUCCGGCUCGAGGAAUGGAGGGGAGACUGGAAUACUUGGUGUAGCAGUGAAAUGCGUAGAUAUCAAGUGGAACACCAGUGGCGAAGGCGAGUCUCUGGACAUUUCCUGACGCUGAGGCACGAAAGCCAGGGGAACAAACGGG